rnacentral:rRNA from 1 species
UACGGAGGAGGCAAGCGUUAUCCGGAAUUAUUGGGCGUAAAGCGUCCGCAGGUGGCUAUUCAAGUCUGCGGUCAAAGACUGGGGCUUAACCCUGGAAAGGCCGUGGAAACUGAAGAGCUAGAGUGCAGUAGGGGUAGAGGGAAUUCCCGGUGUAGCGGUGAAAUGCGUAGAGCUCGGGAAGAACAUCGGUGGCGAAAGCGCUCUGCUGGACUGCAACUGACACUGAGGCGCGAAAGCCAGGGGAGCGAACGGG